AAACCAACAGGGAUGGCUCUAGUAACGGCGAGUGAAGCAGCCAAAGCUCAAAUUUGAAAGCUCCUAACAAGGCGCAUUGUAAUUUGAAGAUGGUAUUCCGAGUUAGUCCUUUACCUCAGUUCCUUGGAACAGGACGCCAUAGAGGGUGAGAGCCCCGUGUGGUAUUGGUAGCUUUCUCAUGUGGUUUACCUUCGAAGAGUCGAGUUGUUUGGGAAUGCAGCUCUAAGUGGGUGGUAAAUUCCAUCUAAAGCUAAAUAUUGGCGAGAGACCGAUAGCGAACAAGUACUGUGAAGGAAAGAUGAAAAGAACUUUGAAAAGAGAGUGAAAAAGUACGUGAAAUUGUUGAAAGGGAAGGGAAUUGGACUAGACUUGGAUUUCUGUUAUCAGCAGUCUUUCGGGGCUGUGCACUAGCAGUUUUCUAGGCCAGGAUCUGUUUGGAGGCCAGGAUAAAACCCAAAGAAUGUGGCUCUUCGGAGUGUUAUAGCUUUGGUUGAAUACUGGCAUUCUGGACAGAGGACCGCGCUUCGUGCUAGGAUCCUGGCGUAAUAGUCCUAUUCCAC
rnacentral:rRNA from 1 species